rnacentral:lncRNA from 1 species
GUGUGUGUGUUGUGUGUGUGUGUGUGUGUGUGUGUGUGUGUGUGUGUGUGUGUGUGUGUGUGUGUCUCCACAAUGAUAUAGAAUUCUCUAUAUCAUUGAUUAUCGUUUAUAUCCUCUUUAUGCCUUUCUCAACUGUGUACCUUUUCAUCAUACCCUCCCUCCCUUACAAUCCUCAUAUUACCUUCCAAUUUUCACCCAUUAAUCCCUAUUAAUCCUCGUCAUCUAUCUUGCCUUCCUUCCCCCAUUUCAUCCCAAUGUGUACAACAGUGAGGGAAAGUCCGUGAGGUCUCUCGGGGUUAUUGUUAAAUGAAGCGUUUGUGAUGUAAGUGUAAAGAAAGGACUAGUGAAGAAAUGAAGAGACUCUAGGUUGUUAUUGAUCUAUUUUUAUUCAUUCGUGAAAGAAAAGUUUGAGCGUGAAGUCCCGAAUGAACUCGUUCAAUGAUGCUUUUUGUGAAUGAAGAGGUGAAGGUCAUUGUACUAGUGAAUGUCCUUGUUCUAGUGAAUGAAGAGGUGAAGGUCCUCGUACGAGUGAAUGAAAUUAUAAAGUGCCCUGAAAAGAGAAGUGAAGUAACUUGCAAAUGAAUGAAAUUGUGAGGGAACCUACAAAUUAAAAUGCAAUGGAACAUAUAAAAUGAAUAGAACUACAAACUUUCAAAAGUGAAUAUUUGGUAAAAAUGUCCGAAAGUUUAGCAGAAUAAUAACAAUAAAAAAUAAAAAAAGGUGUUUCAUGGCUAAAACUUCAAAGAAACUCCAAAGUUACACUAAAACAAAUGAGUAACUUUAUUUACGAAUCUCAAAUGACCAAUAUGAUGAACACGAACCAGUAGUUUGCGUCAGAAAGGUAACUGAAUGACCUUGGAAACACGCGAAUAACUUUUUAAGUGAGUUUGUGUUCGUCUUCAUGAUUCACUAAAAUUAUAACGUGGGGGAUGUGGGAAGAGAAAAUAGGAAGAUAAACGCAAACACAGAAAGCGGGAAGAAAUAGAAAAUGGGGAGACAAAGUCAUGUAAAAGCGGGAAGAAAUAGAAAAUGGGGGAGACAAAAUCACGUGAAAGCGGGAAGAAAUAGAAAAUGGGGAGACAAAGUCAUGUAAAAGCGGGAAGAAAUAGAAAAUGGGGGAGACAAAAUCACGUGAAAGCGGGAAGAAAUAGAAAAUGGGGAGACAAAGUCAUGUAAAAGCGGGAAGAAAUAGAAAAUGGGGGAGACAAAAUCACGUGAAAGCGGGAAGAAAUAGAAAAUGGAGGAGACAAAGUCAUGUAAAAGCGGGAAGAAAUAGAAAAUGGGGGAGACAAAAUCACGUGAAAGCGGGAAGAAAUAGAAAAUGGGGAAGACAAAGUCAUGUGAAAGCGGGAUAAAAUAGAAAAUGGGGGGAGACAAAAUCACGUGAAAGCGGGAAGAAAUAGAAAAUGGGGAGACAAAGUCAUGUGAAAACGGGAAGAAAUAGAAAAUGGGGGAGACAAAGUCAUGUGAAAACGGGAAAUCCACAUGGAAACAAGUGACUGUGAAUCAUACAGUGUCAGUGUGUUAAACUAGCAAGUAACCAUUAAGAUAUAAAACGAUCGCUUAAUACAAGUGCACCUUUAAAAAUAACCUGAAAAUAGAUGCCUCAAAUGUGAUGAAUACAAAUGAAGCAAAAUUUGAUGCGGUUUUACAAAUGCGUCACGCAAACGCCAUUGCAUAAACACAGAUGCUUAAAGCAAAUGUUUUACUGCGUUUUCGUACAAGAACCUAAUGUCUCAGGACAGGUGAUAGCAAUUUUGUGCCCAAUCGUUUGAUCCCAAAUGCACCAGUCGGAAGCGGAGCGCCAGGUUUCUGGAGCAAUAUUGCGGUGUCCAAAUGCACAAAAGUGUUGCUAUUUAUCAACACAAAUAAAAAAAAAAACUGUCUGAAACCCAUGGCCGAAUGUGUGGGCACAUGUUCGGAAACCCGUGUUCGAACCCGUGUUCGAAGACUAACUGAACGCAUGAACCAGUGUACAAAUUGCCCAAACCGAACACCGAAUGAGUGUUCGAAACCUUCAAAAGAGCAUGCCAACCCAUGACAAGAGACAAGAAACCAAUGUUCUCAACCCUCCCCCCUCCCCCAAAACAAA